UACGUAGGGGGCAAGCGUUGUCCGGAAUCAUUGGGCGUAAAGAGCGUGUAGGCGGCUCGGUAAGUCCGCUGUGAAAGUCCAGGGCUCAACCCUGGAAAGCCGGUGGAAACUGUCGAGCUCGAGUCCGGAAGAGGCGAGUGGAAUUCCUGGUGUAGCGGUGAAAUGCGUAGAGAUCCGGAGGAACACCAAAGGCGAAGGCAGUGUCCUGGGGAGUACCUGACGCUCAGGUGCGAAAGCCAGGGGAGCGGAACGGG
rnacentral:rRNA from 1 species